CAAAGAUCACAGGGCAAAGGGCAAAAGCAAGAACUGGUCUGACCACAAAUUUACCAGGGUGGAGUUUUUCCCCACCUUAGUAAGCCUGAGGGUACUGCAGGAGACCAGGGCGGGGGAUGUGAAAUAUCAAAUAUUUUUAAGAUAGCCAAUUAUCCUAUUUGGUUUAGAAUGUAGAAUUCUUUAAAAAGUAGGAGACGGGAACAGAUAGAAGUAGAAAAGUCAGCUGGGGCCAGAUGAUAGAAGGUUUCUCAUUCCAGUUUAAUUAACUUGAGUUUUAUUUGCAAGCUGUGAGAGCAUACAAUGUUUUGGCUCAUGGAAACAAACUGACCAAAGAGAUGGCAUUGAGGAUCAAUGAGACUCAUGAGUGGGAUGGUGGCGGAGAAACAGGGCACAGUGAGGGACCUGUGGAGAGGUCAGACAGGCUUGAGG
rnacentral:lncRNA from 1 species